UACAGAGGUCUCAAGCGUUGUUCGGAUUCAUUGGGCGUAAAGGGUGCGUAGGCGGCGCGGUAAGUCGGGUGUGAAAUCUCGGGGCUUAACUCCGAAACUGCAUUCGAUACUGCCGUGCUUGAGGACUGGAGAGGAGACUGGAAUUUACGGUGUAGCGGUGAAAUGCGUAGAUAUCAGGAGGAACACCGAUGGCGAAGGCAGGUCUCUGGGCCGAUACUGACGCUGAGGAGCGAAAGCGUGGGGAGCGAACAGG
rnacentral:rRNA from 1 species